AUGUACACAUAUAUCUAAUAUUACUUACUUUCAUGGGAGUGUGAACUUGAUUUUUUUAUCUUCUUAAACAUUUUCAUUGCAGAACCAAAUAAGUUAUCUAAAAAACCAAAGCAAAUAUUGAAAGUAAAAAGGAAAUUACCUUUGAAGUCUAAUGGUUUUUCUGAAGAUGAUGCAAAUCCAGUUUCCCCAAAGUGAAAAUGUUUCUCUGUAACAGAUUUAAAAGAAAUACAUAUAAUA